GGGGAAUAUUGCGCAAUGGGCGAAAGCCUGACGCAGCAACGCCGCGUGCGGGUUGAAGGCCUUCGGGUUGUAAACCGCUUUCAGCAGGGACGAAGGUUUUCUGACGGUACCUGCAGAAGAAGCACCGGCUAACUACGAGCCAGCAGCCGCGGUGCUACGUAGGGUGCGAGCGUUGUCCGGAAUUAUUGGGCGUAAAGAGCUUGUAGGCGGUCUGUUGCGUCGGAAGUGAAAACUCAGGGCUUAACCCUGAGCCUGCUUUCGAUACGGGCAGACUUGAGGGAUGUAGGGGAGAACGGAAUUCCUGGUGGAGCGGUGGGAUGCGCUGAUAUCAGGAGGAACACCAGUGGCGACGGCGGUUCUCUGGACAUUUCCUGACGCUGAGAAGCGAAACCGUGGUGAGCAAACA
rnacentral:rRNA from 1 species